rnacentral:rRNA from 1 species
GACGAACGCUGGCGGCGUGCCUAACACAUGCAAGUUGAAGCGGAGGUAGAUGGAGCUUGCUUUAUGUACCUUAGCAGCGAACGGGUGAGUAACACGUAGAUAAUCUGUCCUAUAUUGGGGGAUAGCCCGAUGAAAGUUGGAUUAAUACCGCAUACAGCUAUAUAGUUGCAUGAUUAUAUAGUGAAAGAUUUAUUGAUAUAGGAGGAGUCUGCGGCACAUUAGCUAGUAGGUGAGGUAAGAGCUUACCUAGGCGACGAUGUGUAGCCGGUCUGAGAGGAUGAACGGCCACAAUGGAACUGAGACACGGUCCAUACUCCUACGGGAGGCAGCAGUGGGGAAUAUUGCACAAUGGGGGAAACCCUGAUGCAGCAACGCCGCGUGAGUGAAGAAGGUUUUCGGAUUGUAAAGCUCUGUUAGCAGGGAAGAGGAAGGACGGUACCUGCAGAGGAAGCCACGGCUAACUACGUGCCAGCAGCCGCGGUAAUACGUAGGUGGCAAGCGUUGUUCGGAAUAACUGGGCGUAAAGGAUGCGUAGGCGGUUAAAUAAGUUAUAUGUUAAAUAUAUAGGCUUAACCUGUAGAAAGCAUAUAAAACUGUUUAACUAGAGUGCAGGAGAGGUAAGUGGAAUUCCUAGUGUAGCGGUGAAAUGCGUAGAGAUUAGGAAGAACACCAGUGGCGAAGGCGACUUACUGGACUGUAACUGACGCUGAGGCAUGAGAGCAUGGGGAGCAAACAGGAUUAGAUACCCUGGUAGUCCAUGCUGUAAACGAUGGGUACUAGGUGUGGGUUGUGAAUAACAAUCCGUGCCGUCGCAAACGCAAUAAGUACCCCGCCUGAGGAGUACGAUCGCAAGAUUAAAACUCAAAGGAAUUGACGGGGACCCGCACAAGCAGCGGAGCAUGUGGUUUAAUUCGAAGCAACGCGAAGAACCUUACCUAAACUUGACAUACCUUGAAUUACCUUGUAAUGA